rnacentral:rRNA from 1 species
AUUGAACGCUGGCGGCAUGCCUUACACAUGCAAGUCGAACGGCAGCACGGGAGCAAUCCUGGUGGCGAGUGGCGAACGGGUGAGUAAUAUAUCGGAACGUGCCCGGAGUCGUGGGGAUAACGUAGCGAAAGCUACGCUAAUACCGCAUACGAUCUACGGAUGAAAGCGGGGGAUCGCAAGACCUCGCGCGAUUGGAGCGGGCCGAUAUCAGAUUAGGUAGUUGGUGAGGUAAAGGCUCACCAAGCCGACGAUCUGUAGCUGGUCUGAGAGGACGACCAGCCACACUGGGACUGAGACACGGCCCAGACUCCUACGGGAGGCAGCAGUGGGGAAUUUUGGACAAUGGGCGCAAGCCUGAUCCAGCAAUGCCGCGUGCAGGAU